UAAAAUUACAACUGUAGGUAUUUUAGGGUUUUUCCUAGCUUCAGUUUCGGUUUUCCAUAAGGUUUCCGGACUCUCUUGGUUGCAGAGGUUAUGGAUUAUACUUUAUUUGUCGUAUCUGCAGUAUGGAUUAUGUGCAAUACAGUUGUAUAGUUUCGACAUAUUAAAAGAGAACUGUUAUAAUUAAGUAACGUAAACAGAAUUGAUAGAAAAAAUAAAUGGGGAACAAUAGUACCACAUAUGCCACAGUGGAACUAGUCAGAUCAGAAGAUGCAGUAACUUUUCGAGAGGGGUUAGACGGACCAGAAGAGGCUGUAACACAACGAGAGGAGGAACAUGAUCCAGAAGAGAGAGUUACUAUAAUGGAAGAAUCAGAAAGUAUCAGCAACAACAAACAAGUAAUCGAAAGACAUACUGAGCAAAAAAGUACAGGAGCAAACAUAAAAGGCUGUGACAUUCGUAAUGUAUUGAUAUUGGCUUUAGCCGUUGUUUUCUAGUGGCAGCGUCAGCAAUCAUCACAUAUUUGGCAAAGCGAAAUCCCGAAUCAAAAGAAAGUUCACCGGCAGCACAAUCGUGGAAGUUUAGUAAUGACGUCAUAGAUUUACGUAUAAGUGCAGAGAAUAGUUCGUGUGAAGGACCUUCAUGCAUCAUCUGUAAAACAGACGUUAUGCCUCAUUUUGAAGCGUUUCAUUGUGCUGAAUCUGAUCCAAAUGUAAAGAAUGGCUCUUGUUUCUUGUGCGGAGGAAAGUGCAUGCCACUUCCGAGCUUACUGGACAAGGUGAAACAAAAUGCGACACGUGUGUGCAAGAAACCACGAAUUGAAUUAACUUGUUGUAUACUCGCAAUCAUGGGUAAGUUCGCACACUAUUGCGGAAAAGAAGGACAGUAUCUCUGCUACAACGAGACAGUACACGACUAUCAUAACCAGUCAGUACACGAACCUUUAUGUUGGUGCCCGUCUGGAAAUGUGUCAGAACACUGUAAUAAACCAUAUACUGAAGCGGCUGAUUGCAGAUGUUUUAAAUCCACGCGGAAGUUUUGUGGUCAAGAGCAAAUUACACAGUGUGACAAUGUAAAAGCAAAUUGGUCGAUAUGCCAUAUGAAUAGAACAGAAUUAAGGCGGACAAUACAACUGUCUUUGUAAUAAAUCAACAGGAACAGAAGACCAUUCUACACAGUGUACAUGAUCUGAUUCUGAUUCUGAUAGUACGAAAGAUCUUGGUUGAAGGAAAACAACUAAAAACCUUUGUAAACAAAAUGUAUAUAAAUGGGACGUAGCAACUACGUAUAUCAAUUAUCAGUAAAAAUUGUCAACAUAUGAUACGGAGGAAGAAAAUGGUCAACAUAUGCUACGGAGGAUGUAAAUCUGGUUUGACGGACAAAAGCAGCUGACAAUGACACAAUUUUUGACAAUUUGAAUUUACAUUCCGACUAAAGUCUACAGUAAUAUAAUUGCUUCUAUCUGCCAACAGAUUUUACGAGUCGUUUUCAACGGAAAACUUGGAGGACGAGGGUAAAGUACCGUAAAGAUUGAUUCGUUUAAGACUACCAAUGGUUGUGAUAAUUGCCAUUGGUUACGGUACCCUCUUUAAUGUACUUCGGCGUGUGGUGAUGACUGGAUUUAAGAAUUCUGCAAGACAAUGCAUUACAUUUAUAUUCACAUUAGAAAUACUAUCAUAAUGACAAAGAGGAAUUGCGGUGGAUGGAAAAUGAUGUAAUAAUACUUCAUGUACAUAAUACGAUAACUAGCAUAAAUUAUUAUAGAAAUGCUUAAAAUUGUGCGUACGGCCAAUAUUAUUUCAAACGAAACAAUAUACUGCCAGUAGCUUCUUGAUAUUGAUAUACAAACGCUUUAUAUAAAUGAUUUUUGUUCUGAGUGUCAAUUCAUUUAGAUAUCAUGAAAACUUAUGACUACUGUUACAAACGGAGUAAGACAAAAAGAGAAAAAAAAGUUUUGUUUGGUCACAAUUAAGCCGAGUUGUAUUGCUAUUUGGAUGUUGACAAGAAGUUUGUUUAAGUAUAAAACCAGUCGAAUUAUUUGUAUAAACAGAAAAGAGGAUUUUCAAAUGAAAAGCACGUAUCUCUUUAUAGGCUAAACCGAGUGAGCAACCUUUUUUUUAGAUUUUGUUUCAUUUAUUGUGACUUGACACACUGAAUUUUCAAGAAGUGUUUGUGUGUGUAUUUAAGUUUCAUGUGAAGUAUUUGUGGAUGCAUAAAUAUAAACAGCAGUUUGUCGUAUUUGAUGAAGAUGAAGAUUUAUAAGUUUAUUGAAUAUCCUUGCCACAAUUACAAAUGCUAAUGUUAAACUGAGGUACCAUUAAACUCUUUUUUUUUUGGUCAGAAGUUAUUAUUUUAAGAAAUACGAUAUUUGCAAGCAACCCGUUUAAGAUUAGAAGAAAUCAUAGUAUUAGCAGAAGUUUGUCACUACGAAGCAACGUUUAUAAAGCUUAGAAGUUCUUUCUGUUUCGUUUGAAAUAAUAUUGGCCGUACGCACAAUUUUAACCUUUAGCCUGCUGGCGACAAGUGACUCUGCCUUUUUAGCCAGUACAGACCAAGAUCAGCCUGUGCAUCCGUGUAGGCUACUCACGGUCUGCAGUGCUCACUAUUUCAGUGAACACCCCUUUGAAUAAUAAGUGGUACUGCCUAAUUUGAAUGAUGGACCAGUCUAUUUUAGACAUUCAGCCGGGUAAUGGAUGAAUAAUUUCGUUGCAUAUCCCUAGUGGAAAUCAAAAGACGACGUGUUCGCCUCUAUAUUGAUUACACCUGUUUCCGCGCAUUGAAACUAUAAGCCUGAGCAGCAGUCCAGUAAGUAUUUCUUUCAUCCUGAAAUGAAAAGGAAGCGAAAUUAGGUAAGACUGGUCGUUUGUCUCCCCAGAAUUCCUCUUGGAGUCGUAUUUAAUUCUAACCUCAUCAAUAUAUGUAAUAAAAGGCCGAGUUCUCUGUUUAAUGCAGUGUACGAGAAUUCAAAAUUAUGCCAAUACCCAUAAACGCAAGCUAUGUGUUUUCUCUGAUGUCUUUAAGAAACAUGUUUUGUUUUCGCAUUUAAUUUAGCGUUUAUGAAUGAAACAUACAGGAAGACAGGAUAUGAAAAAGAUGAAUAGAAAUACGAAUGUAGUUCGUUUGAGUUCUGAAGAAUUUGUGCUGUUUUAACUUUUUUAAAUAUUACACCUAUAUAACAAAUUGUAUUGAUUUGCUUUAUCCUAUGAUGAAUACAAAAUAAGUGUUAUUGGCAAACUGACUGAAUGUAUGCCGUGUUAGGCUAAUGUGCUAUGUAUUUUGAGAAGUUCUAUUUAUUUAUCCCCGAUGAAAUUAGCACUUUUAUUUUUUUUUCUAUUCAAUGACUGAAAUGAUAUAUACUGGAAAUUUUUAUAAUUGGAAGCCAUUUUAAUGGUACCUAUAAUAGGGCAGGGAACCAAAGUAGGAACCAGACUGCAUUUAACGUUACUUUUUUAUGUUGAUUUCUUUAUAAAAUCUAUACAGCAAAACAAUAAAAUGUGAAUGAGAUUUAACAGAUUGUGAAUCAAGAAAAUUGAAUUUCUAGGGGCAAAGCUUUGAGUAGACCCUUCUUGACGAAAAUUCUUUGAUGAUGCUGACAACGCGUACGCUUAAAAAACAGAAUAGCUUUGUAUAAAAAGAAAACCUAAAAAAGAACAGUGUCCAUAUUAAUAAUGAAUGUGUAUAUAGUGAACAUACAGCCGUACAUAAAGGUGCUAUUUGCUUAAUCUAUGAUAUAUUGCUGUACAUAAUAUUGUAAUUGUUGUUUUGGUCUUGUCUUUUUAGAAAAUAGCCACCAUUUUUUAUAUGAUUUUCUAUUUGUCAUACACUUUUGGUCAGCGAUUCAGUGAAUUUUAUGUAACUAGGACCUCACAAAUGGCAGUUCUGGUCUGAGGAUUAUGCAGAUUUCUUACGUCUGUCGUGGAUUCGAAAUAUAUGAACAGAAAUGAUAUACACAUAUAAUUAUGUGAAAUAGAAGAUUGACACAGCCAUGUCAGUAUUGCCAGAUCUAGCUACCUGUAAUAAAUUGUUUGAGAUUCGUUCUGCUUAGGGUUACUCUGCUAAUUGUCUCAUGUGAUGUGUGCUGGAGAGUCUCAAACAGUACAAUUUUAAAGUCAGAGUGAGGCUAUAUUCAGUUCCAAUGUUUAUGAAAUUAAAGUUACACUUCCAGCUCAGUUGUUGAAGCUGUGUGAUCUAAAACGGCUGAUGAAAAUUGAUAAAAUACACUUCUUUCUGUUGCGAAAAUCAUAAUAUUCAUAUGUUUAGCUUGAAGAAUUUUAAACUGCUUGCAGUGUGGACUUCUGUGGCAAAUUUCCUGUAUGUAAACUUGGUUUUAGAUUACUUAUUUUCAUAAACAUUCUUUGUAAAUUUUGUUUAUAACAUUUAGUGUUUGAGUUUUAGACAUCACUCAUUUACAGUGCAAUUUGUGUUGCUGUUUAAGUUUAAACAGACAUGUUUAAAUCAGUACUUAUAUCAGUUUAUUUUGCAUCAUACAUUUUCGGUCAGAUUUUCAUUGCUGUUUUAAAACUGUUAAAACUUCUGAACACAUUACAUUUUUAUCAAAACUGUUUUUUCAAAAGGAUAAAAUGUGAAAUGUUUGCAGGUUUAAUUCCUUACUUGCCAUGGUGAGUUCCAAAUAAAAUAUCUGUAACAAUAUCGUAAGACUGGUGCACACAACUAGCAUAUGGUGAGCGACAUUGUUAUCGCUCAAAGUCCUGAUUUUGUCUGUCUGUCAAUCAUUUUCUUCAAGCAACACCUUUUAGAAAAAAAAUGUUGCAGCAUGUGGUUUCCUUAUAUGACCCUCUUUGAAAGUUGUCCAUACUGUUCUGCUUAUUAAAAAGAUAUUAAAUAAUGAAAAAUA
rnacentral:lncRNA from 1 species